rnacentral:rRNA from 1 species
UACGUAGGGGGCAAGCGUUGUCCGGAAUCAUUGGGCGUAAAGCGCGCGUAGGCGGCCCGGUAAGUCCGUUGUGAAAGUCAAAGGCUCAACCUUUGAACGCCGAUGGAUACUGCCGGGCUAGAGUCCGGAAGAGGCGAGUGGAAUUCCUGGUGUAGCGGUGGAAUGCGCAGAUAUCAGGAGGAACACCAAGAGCGAAGGCAGCGCGCUGGGACGGUACUGACGCUGAGGCGCGAAAGCGUGGGGAGCGAACAGG